rnacentral:tRNA from 1 species
AAGAUUUUAAGUUAUUCAAACUAAUGUCCUUCAAAGACAUAAAAAAAAGAUAAUAUCUUUUAAAUCUUA